CACGGAGUUAGCCGAUCCUUAUUCUUACGAUACCGUCAAGCUCCUAUACAUAGGAGUGUUUCUUCUCGUACAAAAGCAGUUUACAAUCCAUAGGACCGUCAUCCUGCACGCGGCAUGGCUGGAUCAGGCUUGCGCCCAUUGUCCAAUACUCCUCACUGCUGCCUCCCGUAGGAGUCUGGUCCGUGUCUCAGUACCAGUGUGGGGGAUCUCCCUCUCAGGACCCCUACCCAUCGUUGCCUUGGUAAGCCGUUACCUUACCAACAAGCUAAUGGGACGCAUGCUCAUCUUUCACCGUUGUGACUUUAAUAAUUAAACCAUGCGGUUUGAUUAUACUAUGAGGUAUUAAUCCAAAUUUCUCUGGGCUAUCCCUCUGUGAAAGGCAGAUUGCAUACGCGUUACGCACCCGUGCGCCGGUCUCUAUCUCCGAAGAAACUAUACCCCUCGACUUGCAUGUGUUAAGCUGCCGCUAGCGUCAUCCUGAGCCAGGAUA
rnacentral:rRNA from 1 species